rnacentral:lncRNA from 1 species
AACUGGUUGAGGUUCACGAGGUGUUCGAUAAUUUGCCCGAGAAAGAACUCCCGCCAAUGUUAUUCGUUUCUCGUCUUCAAUAAGUUCAGUUAUUAAAUCAAAUUUAUUUAAUUUCGGUGGGUUUUCUUUUUAUAUUGCAGGGAGAGGCAGGGAUUCAAGUUGGUUACUUUGCCAGAGCUUCAACUCUCUUCUGAUUUUGAUUAGGAGGCUUCACUAAGAGUAACCGGAAAGUAAAAAUUCUGCUAUCGUUUCAUGCACUAUCCCUAAUUUUAUCAGCACACUUCACAAGAUCUUGUUUCAUCUUUUGAGAGAAUAUGACCCAAUGUACAAAAAAAUGGGGGGUUAGAUUAGAUGUAGUAGGUGAUAAUUACUUGUCGGCUGCUUGAAUCAUGCUAUAGUGAAAUGAAGGGUAAAUAUAGUGGCUGUGGUGCUUAGCUUGUGGUAGGUGUUAGUGUUCAGAUGAAGGUCUAUUCAGGGUUGAAGCCAGAAAUCUUUUAGGAGGCAAGGUUAAGUUAUAUAUUUUUAGUGGAGCUAAAAUGCAGUUUUACCAUUUUAUUGAUUUAUAUCUAUAUGAUUUUCAAAAGGAUUAAAUCGAAAUUUAAUUAGGUUCUCGGAGAUGCCUAUGUUUCCAAAGGAAAGGUAAGCGUCAACCUAGGCAAGGCAGAUAGAGAAAACAAAAAUGAAAGCAAUAAAUUCAUGAACAUGUCUAGAGAACUUAAUUAAAGGAAUUUGCAGUUGCAUGUGAUUUAUGAUCCAUUAUUUAUUACAAAUAAUUGCACGUCAGGUAUCAUGGCCUAUGAUUUCUUACAAUUACUAAUUCAUGUUAUUCUCUUGUCUGGAUUUCAUUCAUGUUAUGAUCUCUAGUAGCAGGACAGGUCAUAAAGCAAUAAUCUGUUUCUUUAUUUUCAUCAUAUCAUCUGCCCUCGAAAUACAUGGAAAAACUUCAAAAUUAUUAAACAUGCUCAUGCUGGACAUACAUCAAUAUCCGACACUUACAUUUGAAUCGAGAACAUAGGUCCAACUCAUACUGGGUUCUUCCUAUUCUUGAUGAUUCUUACUAUAAAAUAUUCUCAUUUUUUGUAGAUCAUAUUGUCUUGGGAUAUGAAGGGGACAAGCGGGGAAAAGCAAUAAGAGGAAAAGCAGAGUUGCAUUUAUAUUAGAAUAUGUAGAAUUAAAGGUGGUUUAGGUGCUAAGUUAGAUUAAUUGCUGGAAAUACAUCAAAGAUGUUAAACAAUUAUUGAAUUACACUGGUUUCCUUGAUCUGAGUGCUGGAUGAUUGCACCAUCAGUAUACUAUUUUUAUUUGUUUCGUUGAUUCUUGUGAGGUGAUGUAAUAUCCAUAUAAAAAAUGGUUUAUUGCAGGCAAUCUUGCUAGCACAUACUGGUAGGAAUAUUGAUGGUAUUGCUAGUAAGACAGUUCCAAGCUGAGUGCACGUAGAAUGCAACUACUUAAUGAAGUUUUGGAUUUGAACACACUUGCUUGGGGAUUUCAAGGUACUUAACUCACUACUAAACUCAUAUCUGCCCUAAAUAGAAAGAGACCAUUUUCGGUUAUUUGAAUCUACGUUGUUCCAACUCUUCAUUUCGUUCACGUAUAGUGAUACCUUAAAAAUAGAGCCAAAAACUUGAGAAAAAUUCAACAUACUCUUUUUAAGGCACAUAUUUUAAUAACAUGACUUUCGGUCAGAUAAAAGUACCAUGGAGGCCUCUAUACCAGGAGUCAAAUUACAUUUUACCCCCUACUAACAAAAUGGACAAAUUAAUCCCCAUACAUUAAAUAAAAGAGCAAAUUAAUACUUUUACCCUUAUACAAAGGCGUGUACUUUUACUCUUCUAGCUGUGAUAUAGAAUUUUGCCCAAAUUUAUGGCUAGCCCUUGUCGUAGCUUUUGUUCGAGACCUUUCAUCGAAACUCUCAAGGCAUGGUCUUCUUUUUCUUCAUGCCAUGAAAGUACAAUAGAGUAGGGUGGCUAGCACAUUAAUAGCCAUUUCGAGUUGAUUGAUGCGGCACAUGGUUUUUAUUCUGCAUUUUUAUAGAAAAUGUUUUAUGUCCAACUUGUUUGAUUGCCAUUUGGGCUUUAGUGCUACAAUCUAUUAAAUAAAACUACCAAACAAAUAGCUUUUAUUUUCGAGGGCUAUUCCGAUGAGUUCGGAACUGAGUUCAACCUUUGAUUAAAUUCAUUUUAGGGUCAAAUCCUGUCAAAGGAGCAUAAGUUACCCAUUAACCAUUGAGACCCCAAAAAUUCUUUUUUAUUCCUGACGUUUCUUCAUGUUCAUGGUCUGAGUUUAUAAUAUUUAAUUUACUCUUCGGCCUGUAUUAUGAAAAUUAUUCAGAUCUCCAUGUCAGAAAUGAAAAAGGGCUUCUUCUAUUUUCUUCCCCAAUCAUCCAUUGCGUUACAUAAGGAGAAGUUUCUGUGAAGAAUGAGCCACAACAACCCAACUUAACUUUUCUAAGUAAUCUGUUGAUACAUUGCUGGAGUUUCGUGGUGGUUUAUGGGUUUAUCUGGCGGGCGGAGAGCAGUAGGUAAUGAUAGCGGCCAGAGUUUGACUUCCUUGAGGGGCUGGAGCAUGAGAUAGUAGAAGAGUGUGACUGUUUGAAUCUAGAGCGAGAGAAGAGAGAGUUGCCCUGUUUUGGUGACCGUGGGUUUUAAAAAGGAACUCUUCAGAUCGUUUCCAAAGUCUCGUGUCAUUUUGGUAUUGGUUUUCUAUUGUUUGGAGUCCAAUCGACCUACAUGUAUCCCAUCACACGUGAUUGAGAAUACAUGUAAGCUCCAAACGAUCAAUUGGAACUAUCAAUGACUAUGCUUAUGAGGUUAUGGGUAGCAAGAUUUUGACCAUGCGAGGUUUAAGCUAGUAAGAUAAUCUUUAGAAGAGCAGUACGUUUAUUUUUAGUAAAAUUAAAAAUAAUGAUGAUGAUAAAAUUAAUUAUUGUAACUGUGAG